UUGGAUGUGGGAGAGUCACAACACAAUACAAAUAGUGGUGAGUAUGGCUUCCCUGCGCAAAAAGUCUUUGGACCUGGGAGAGUUUCAACACAAAGGCUAUGAGGCAGAGAAGACACAGCAGAGAAUUUGUCAGAAAGACCUAACAGGGGCCAAAAGCAAGGGGGUGACAGGCGACCAGAUGCCCCAGGCACUUCAGCACAAGCUGCCUCGUGGGGAGGCGGCAGGAAGGUCAAGUGGGCUCAGCUGCAGGUGGCUGCGGGGAUACCUAGAGGCUUCCAAGCAGGGGCAGGACACGCCCGGUAGCAGGGACUCUGAGUCCGGACGGGGAGAUGGCUUCACUUCGGAGGAGCGCUGCGCGGGAAGAGACGUGCACCCCCACCACGGUGACCGACCGGUGACCGAGAGAGUGAGACUGUCCAAAGUCAAGGGAAAACAUGCCACUGGAAG